CGUGCUGCUUUUGCACGACAAAAUGGCUCGCGGCGUGUUUUGCAGCCGACGUCGUGAAUCCGUUCGCAGCUGCGGGAGCCAAUGUAAACAACUCGGCGGCGCGAAAUCUCUCCGCAGCUGCCGGUGCAGGCAGACACAGUGCGACGCAAUAACAAAGCCGCGCGCAUUACGCCGACAGCCUCCUCUAAUGACACGGUGCUGCUCGGGGUUCGACGAAGUGGGCGCGCACACGCGCUGCGAAGGCGUCAACGUGUGGUCACGAGAAUCAGUUCAUGCGGAAGAAAUAACGGCGUUCACUCGAAACGCGUUCAUGAGGCGCGGUGGACCAAGUUGCCAGUUAGUGUCGCACUGAACCUUGACAAGUUGACCUAUUGUUUGUCAACAGAGAAAUAUAAAACACCUGUGCAACA
rnacentral:lncRNA from 1 species